CACACACACACACACACACAAAUAUUAAUAUCAAUAAUUAUCGAUAAAUGCAGAGCUUGUUACCAAGUUCAAGAAAUGAAGAUCCACACAGAUACCAGAUGGCGUACUAAGCUACACAUACCUCCCUCUAUUCGAAACUGAUGAUUCUUCUGAACGUGGCCAUUGGUCCUUGCCUCUAGAACACAACGUCUCAAGUAUUGCAAUAACCAAUCAAUUUACAGCUUUUCCCUAAAAUGAAAGAUCUACUGUUUUUUAGAUAGACUUUUUUUCUCCACCUUUUAUCCUCCUUCCUUUUCUCUCCGACAUGUAAAGAGAAGGAGAAACGAUGAACUAUAUGCAUGAAAUUCAGCUGAAAAGAACUAGAAUCCCUAGGGAUUCUGAAAAAAAAACAGACCUAAAGAUAAAGACGUUCCCACAAAAAUAUCGCGAGCGUCAAAUGGAACGUAGCUUAAGCCGAUGGCGCUGCCGUCGCUGGGUAUCGAUACUAACGCUUGCGAUUCUCGAAGUGAAGACUUGAAUAUUUUCGCGGCGAAGCAUGGACUUUUCUACGGGAUGCGGUAAUGUGACCCGCGUUUUGUUACUGGCUUCGUCGGCUUUCUGAGGACGUUUGAACGAGACAUAUAUGAACGUGACGUACAUACGCGUGCAUUCCUGUGUGCAGGUAACAAAUAUAAAAAUAAUAUUGUGUCAGUGUGCAAAAAAACUACAGGAUGGAAAAGAUGAACUUGAACGGUAAAUUAUGGAAAGAUCACCUCAUCACCGCAUUCAUUACGCAUGAUAAUUCUUUCGAUGUAUCCUUUUCCUAUCCUACUAUAAUAGGUUGGCUUGCAUAUAUCUGCAGCGCUUUCACACAAUUCGUCUAUGAUGUAGUGAAGAAAAGUACUGUAUAACGAUGUUUCUGGAUAAAAAGAAACAUUAGGGUCAUGAAAGUAUGUGCCUUCGAGUCAGACGUAUAAAGGAUUUUAUUUAGUGGAGAAGAGGUUUGAGAAGUGGUUUUCACAAAGUGUUACUCAACAUAUGUUAAUACUAUUAAGUAAUAAUUACAAACAAAAUGACAAAAAAAA